GUGCGGUCACAAAAAACAAGUUUUUUGAACGUUGACUUUACCAAUGGCUCCAAAGGAGUGAAUCAAUCACUUUAGUGAUUGAUGGAUAAUUUUUCAC
rnacentral:ncRNA from 18 species